GGGAAGUUCAGGGCUGGAGAACCCCUUCCCCGACCCCAUUUCUCUUUUAACAAGAGUAGGGUUUGUAGCUAACCAACGUCCUGACAGCUCAGCUCUGCUUUCCCUUUAAGCAUUAAUAUCAAAGCCCUGCCUGCUACCGGUGAAGCCCCGACCCGGGAGGGCCCGAAAGUCCCUUCAGGGAGAGGCCGCACUGGGCCUGCUCACCCAGGGGCUGCCCCUGCAGACUCUCCCGAGGGGCCCAGGGAUAUUCCUCGCGCCGCGAGUGGACGCUUCCAUCCACCCCAUGGGGAGGGCCUCUGCGCGUGGCUACUCUGAGCCCUCUGGAAUGCCGAGAUAGUUGCAUAAUUUCAGAAACCACGGCAUGGAGACGGAAUGAUGCAGACUCCUAUCCGCGAGAUACCUGCUGUAAUUUCGCUGUGGUUCGUGAGGACGCGUCCUGGGCUGCCCUGAGAAGCCUACGUCUCCCCUUCGAGGCCCGGGAAGACCUCCAACCCCGCUGACAAUGCUGGGCCCUCAGCCAGACCUGCCCUGCGUGCCACGUUCUGUUCUAAGAUCGGGCUGCCGAGCUGUGGCCUGGAGGAAACCUGGCAGGUGUCACCAGAGCUUUGGGGAGGGUGAGGCCCUGUCGGGGAAGCCCAGUGGGAGUCAUGAAGGAGGGAACACGUGUGGAGCCCUUGUAGGGGGAGGGGCAGCCCUGCAGAGAUCUAAGAAAAAAUUCCAGAAAAAUGAGCAGCAACCUCCAAGGCCAGGCAUCGGUGCAGGGGACAAGGGGUCGUAGCUGGAGGGGCCUAGGUGAGGCUGCCGGGAAGGGACGAUGUGGUUGGUGGAGUGCACAGGCAGGGACCUCACUGGACUUUCCUGUCUGCUCAGCAUGGACAGGCAGCCCAGGAGAAGGCAGCACGUGGCCGGGUGCAGGGACGUACCACCCCCACUUCCCCAGGGGAGCUGGGGUCAGACGAGUCCCAGGCACUCCAUCCUCUGCAGCAAGUCAGGUUGUGAUUUACUAGGGGGUGGUGAAUAUAAUGGAGAGACUUCUGGGGAGGAAUUCCUGGCUCCCGCGUGGACUUGCAGAGCUCAACAGGCAGCCACGUGGCUGAGUGUCCAGCAAACAUCACAUAAGGCUUUGGGUCCUGCAGGUGGGGCUGCCAUGAGCAGCAAGCUCAGUCCAGAAGAACAGUUCCUCUCCAGGAUCCACUUCCUGCGCACUUUUAUGUGCAGUGUAGCUGGAGCAGAGCUCCCCGGAAUUCCACAGGCAACUGAGAACGGAGAGGGAUGCAGGCCAGCCAGGGAUCCAGCGUCUUCCCCAUCGUCACUCUCCAUGGCCUCCGUCUACACACAGUGUUCGUCUGCACAGCUUGUCAGCGCGUUAUCAUGACUUCUAUUUGGCACCGGCCCGUCUGUCCACUGUCCUGGCUUGUUCCAAGCGCUGCCUUCUCCAACUGGGGUCCUGGCUGCAGAGCUGUCUGCUCCCCACGUUGGGCAACUCCAGCCAAGAUUCCUACACCCAAAUGUGACCGUGUUGCUCACGAAGAAGGCUCAGCUUUGCGUGUGCCCAGCCGUGUGCACAGCUCGUCCCAACUCCUGCGGGUGGCACCUGCCUCUCCCACCUCCAGUCUUUCCCCUGUGAUGAGCAGAUGACCACCGCCCUCCAGGGUCAGCGUUUGGCUGUUUGUGUGCCUGCCCACCCGCCUCCCUGUGCCUGGGCCUGCCCUGUGCCUGCACACAGGAGUGGCUCAUGGCGUUUGCCCUACACGGAUGGGCUGUCCUGGGAGCUACUGGACAGUCACCUUGGUGGGAAUGCCAGAGGCAUGGGCAUUAGGUCCCCCCGGCCAGCCUCCGUUGCCACAUGGGCUAUUUUUGUCCAUCGCGUGGGACAACCUAGUAUUGGGGGAAAACUCAGUCCACUCUAAAGAAGCAUCGGCGUUUUGGAUGGACGAAUGCUGCUUCAUGCGACUCCAUGUCAAUGGACUAUUUUAUUCAACUCGGGUAUUUAUGAGUGUCUCCUCUGUGCCAGCCACGUGUGAAAGAAGAACUCCAAGUUACUGGACACCAGGACAAACCAGAACCAGCUGGAACCCUCUGGAAAGUUCCAGAACCACCAGCAUCAGGGUGGCCAAGACGUGGGCACUGCCAGACAGGGGACCAUGUGGGGCCAGAAGAAAUUAUAGGACAUAGCAGGUCUCAGACAUGACCAGAGACUGCUGCCAGUGGUGGAAGGCUUCCCUGAGCGUGAUGACCUGGCCACUCCACAGGAAGCCUCCACACCCAAGGUUAAAGGUGUCCAGCUGCGGCCAGGGUUCCGGGGUACCUGUGGAUCCCGUGACGUGGCACCGAAGAUCUGAGCUGUGCAGAGGAGCUGCACCACAGAGGCCAGGUUUCCGUGUGGAGAACGCGCAUAAUGGGAGGCCUUGAGCUGAGACCCAGCCCCCG
rnacentral:lncRNA from 1 species